rnacentral:lncRNA from 1 species
ACCCUCUCCUCCUCAUACUCUCCCACCUCAUUCACUGUAGCGGGAGAUGGGAAAACCCAGGAGAAGAAAAAUGGUGGCAACGUGCGGAACUUCCCUCGUUUGCUGUCGAUGGGAAAUGCUGACCAAGACAGGCCUUUGAGACAGCGGCGCUGCAGAGACCCGAGGAGCACAAAUCAAGGCAGAACUCUUAAAGCAGCAGCAAAGGAGUCAAAUACAACUGCAAAAUCUACAUAUAA